GCGCAGGUGAGAGGAGCUUGGAAAAGCCCGCUACACCACGCGCGAUCUUCCAAGCUGGCCGUGCGGGUUCGAUUCCCGUCGCCCGCUCCA
rnacentral:tRNA from 1 species